rnacentral:rRNA from 1 species
AACGAACGCUGGCGGCAUGCCUAACACGUGCAAGUCGAACGAGACCUUCGGUUCUAGUGGCGCACGGGUGCGUAACGCGUGGUAACCUGCCUUUAGGUUCGGAAUAACUCAGAGAAAUUUGAGCUAAUACCGGAUGAUGUCUUCGGACCAAAGAUUUAUCGCCUUUUGAUGGGCCCGCGUUGGUUUAGGUAGUUGGUGGGGUAACGGCCUACCAAGGCGGGGAUCCAUAGCUGGUCUGAGAGGAUGAUCAGCCAGACUGGGACUGAGACACGACCCAGACGGGAAGGGGAGGAGGGGGGGGGGAAAAAAGGAGAAGGGGCGAAAGGCAGAGAAACCGAGGGGGGGUGGAGGGACAAGGGUUUGGGAUUGUAAAGCGCUAUGAACGAAGAGAAAAUGAAGGGACCUGGGGAAGAAGCUCCGGAUAAAUACGGG